AGAGUUUGAUCAUGGCUCAGAAUCAACGCUGGCGGCGCGCUUAACACAUGCAAGUCGCACGAGAAAGUGGAGCAAUCCAUGAGUACAGUGGCGUACGGGUGAGUAACACGUGGAUCAUCUACCUCUUAGUGGGGAAUAACCCUGGGAAACCGGGGCUAAUACCGCAUAAGCUCGAGAGAGGAAAGCAGCAAUGCGCUGGGAGAGGAGUCCGCGGCCGAUUAGCUAGUUGGCAGGGUAAAAGCCUACCAAGGCAAAGAUCGGUAGCCGGCCUGAGAGGGCACACGGCCACACUGGCACUGAAACACGGGCCAGACUCCUACGGGAGGCAGCAGUGGGGAAUCUUGCACAAUGGGGGAAACCCUGAUGCAGCGACGCCGCGUGAGCGAUGAAGCCCUUCGGGGUGUAAAGCUCUUUCGGCAGGGACGAUCAUGACGGUACCUGCAGAAGCAGCUGCGGCUAACUACGUGCCAGCAGCCGCGGUAAUACGUAGGCAGCGAGCGUUGUUCGGAGUUACUGGGCGUAAAGGGUGUGUAGGCGGUUGCUUAAGUUUGGUGUGAAAUCUCCCGGCUCAACUGGGAGGGUGCGCCGAAUACUGAGUGACUCGAGUGCGGGAGAGGAGAGUGGAAUUCCUGGUGUAGCGGUGAAAUGCGUAGAUAUCAGGAGGAACACCGGCGGUGUAGACGGCUCUCUGGACCGUAACUGACGCUGAGACACGAAAGCGUGGGUAGCAAACAGGAUUAGAUACCCUGGUAGUCCACGCCCUAAACGAUGCAUAUUUGGUGUGGGUCAUCAGUGAUCGUGCGGAGCUACGCGGUAAAUAUGCGCUGGGGAGUACAGUCGCAGCUGAACUCAAGGAUGACGGGCCCGCACAAGCGGGUGGGAGCAUGUGGUCAUCGA
rnacentral:rRNA from 1 species